UACAGAGGGGGCGAGCGUUGUUCGGAAUUACUGGGCGUAAAGGGCGCGUAGGCGGCCUUCUAAGUCGGACGUGAAAUCCCUCGGCUCAACCGAGGAACUGCGUCCGAUACUGGUUGGCUUGAAUUCGGGAGAGGGAUGCGGAAUUCCAGGUGUAGCGGUGAAAUGCGCAGAUAUCAGGAAGAACACCGGUGGCGAAGGCGGGUCUCUGGGCCGAUACUGACGCUGAGGAGCGAAAGCGUGGGGAGCGAACAGG
rnacentral:rRNA from 1 species